GCCCGGUUAGCUCAAUCGGUAGAGCGUGAGACUCUUAAUCUCAAGGUUGCGGGUAAGUAAAAAACCCAUUGGCA
rnacentral:tRNA from 1 species